ACUCCUACGGAAGGCAGCAGUGGGGAAUAUUGCACAAUGGGCGCAAGCCUGAUGCAGCAACGCCGCGUGAGGGACGACGGCCUUCGGGUUGUAAACCUCUUUUAGCAGGGAAGAAGCGAAAGUGACGGUACCUGCAGAAAAAGCACCGGCUAACUACGUGCCAGCAGCCGCGGUAAU
rnacentral:rRNA from 1 species